rnacentral:rRNA from 11 species
GGUUGACCUCGGAUCAGGUAGGGAUACCCGCUGAACU